rnacentral:rRNA from 1 species
UACGGGAGGCAGCAGUGGGGAAUAUUGCACAAUGGGCGCAAGCCUGAUGCAGCCAUGCCGCGUGUAUGAAGAAAGGCCUUCGGGUUGUAAAGUACUUUCAGUCGUGAGGAAGGUGUUAAGGUUAAUAACCUUAGCAAUUGACGUUAGCGACAGAAGAAGCACCGGCUAACUCCGUGCCAGCAGCCGCGGUAAUACGGAGGGUGCGAGCGUUAAUCGGAAUUACUGGGCGUAAAGGGCACGCAGGCGGUUAAUUAAGUUGGAUGUGAAAUCCCCGGGCUUAACCUGGGAAUGGCAUUCAAGACUGGUUAGCUAGAGUCUUGUAGAGGGGGUAGAAUUCCAUGUGUAGCGGUGAAAUGCGUAGAGAUGUGGAGGAAUACCGGUGGCGAAGGCGGCCCCUGGGACAAAGACUGACGCUCAUGUGCGAAAGCGUGGGGAGCAAACAGGAUUAGAUACC